AGAAGCAAGGGCGAUCAAGGGCAUCCUUCCAGCUGUUCUACAUUCAAGAACCUCUAGUCAAUUGUAUGUCAGCUCCAGCACCUUUUUUUUUCAGUUCCAGGGGAACAGACAUUUGCAUUAAAAUUCAAGAGAGAUGAAGUCUAUCAUCGAUCUUGACUCCCUCGUGGACCUCUUGUACUCAGCGAAAGAUGAUUUAGAGAAUGUCAAGAGUCUUGGAACACCCAUAAUGAGAGAAGGAAAAAAAUCACUUCAGACUUACAAACCAGUGAGGGCUUAUUUGACAGAAAGGGCAAUUGCGUUUGGUGGCUGUGUUUUAGAGAAAUCAAAUUCUGGAAGUUUAAUUUUGUUCCUAGGCCAAGUCAUUAAGAGAUCUGUGAGACGAACGGCCAUUCAUAAAGUCCUCGCUGGUUAAACAAAACAUUUCAAAACAUCCACAGAGGUUAAACAAAGCACUCACAUUGUUACUGGCCACAAAGGAAAGCUAAAAGUAAAUUCUAAUAUUUCUGUAUAAACGUGUCCCUGAUAAGACACUAACCCCAAGACAAGUUUGUGAUUCAAUCCUCCAUUGCUGUCUCUGAGAACUGUGAGGGUGAAACCCCUGGAAGCCCAAGUCUUCCGCUAGAGUACCCCAGGAUUACCCUCUUUUAUAACAAGACUCAAAGCUGUUUGCAAAUUCUUACAGUUGCCUGGCGUCUGGAUCCUUUUCCUAGACAAGAGCCAAUCUAUUUUGUGGCCUGAAUAACUUCCAUCCACUGCUCAUUCCUGUAAUCACACCCAGAGGUUUUUAUUUGGCUCUUUUCUGGAAGUGGAGGCUCUUUCCAUUUUCUGAGGUGUUCUGCUGGACUUAACUGGUUUUUUUUGUUUUUUUUUUUUGAGGAAGAUUAGCCCUGAGCUAACAUCUGCCACCAAUCCUCUUCUUUUUUGCUGAGGAAGACUGGCCCUAAGCUAACAUCCAUGCCCAUCUUCCUCUACUUUAUAUGUGGGAUGCCUGCCACAGCAGGGCUUGCCAAGUGGUGUGUAGGUCCACACCAG
rnacentral:lncRNA from 1 species